UGGCUCAUGUGGUAGAGCCAUGGAUUUGUAAUCCGUUGGUCCCAGGAUCGAAUCCUAG
rnacentral:tRNA from 1 species